ACGCUGGCGGCAGGCUUAACACAUGCAAGUCGAACGGUAGCAGGAGAAAGCUUGCUUUCUUGCUGACGAGUGGCGGACGGGUGAGUAAUGCUUGGGAAUCUGGCUUAUGGAGGGGGAUAACUACGGGAAACUGUAGCUAAUACCGCGUAGUGUCGAGAGACGAAAGUGCGGGACCGCAAGGCCGCAUGCCAUGAGAUGAGCCCAAGUGGGAUUAGGUAGUUGGUGGGGUAAAGGCCUACCAAGCCUGCGAUCUCUAGCUGGUCUGAGAGGAUGGCCAGCCACACUGGAACUGAGACACGGUCCAGACUCCUACGGGAGGCAGCAGUGGGGAAUAUUGCGCAAUGGGGGGAACCCUGACGCAGCCAUGCCGCGUGAAUGAAGAAGGCCUUCGGGUUGUAAAGUUCUUUCGGUAUUGAGGAAGGUUGAUGUGUUAAUAGUACAUCAAAUUGACGUUAAAUACAGAAGAAGCACCGGCUAACUCCGUGCCAGCAGCCGCGGUAAUACGGAGGGUGCGAGCGUUAAUCGGAAUAACUGGGCGUAAAGGGCACGCAGGCGGUUAUUUAAGUGAGGUGUGAAAGCCCCGGGCUUAACCUGGGAAUUGCAUUUCAGACUGGGUAACUAGAGUACUUUAGGGAGGGGUAGAAUUCCACGUGUAGCGGUGAAAUGCGUAGAGAUGUGGAGGAAUACCGAAGGCGAAGGCAGCCCCUUGGGAAUGUACUGACGCUCAUGUGCGAAAGCGUGGGGAGCAAACAGGAUUAGAUACCCUGGUAGUCCACGCUGUAAACGCUGUCGAUUUGGGGAUUGGGCUUAGAGCUUGGUGCCCGUAGCUAACGUGAUAAAUCGACCGCCUGGGGAGUACGGCCGCAAGGUUAAAACUCAAAUGAAUUGACGGGGGCCCGCACAAGC
rnacentral:rRNA from 1 species